CGCAGCAAUGCGGUUUGGGGGCGUCUGCGUAACCUGCUCGCGCCCCUGUGUUUCAAAAGGCUAUGUUUUAACAUACACUAUAAAGUUACAGAAUGUCUUUUAAAGGCUGCUUGCAGUCAUUAAACCUAUACAACUUUCAGCAACGGAUCUCUUGGCUCUCCCAUCGAUGAAGAACGCAGCGAAAUGCGAUAAGUAAUGUGAAUUGCAGAAUUCAGUGAAUCAUCGAAUCUUUGAACGCACCUUGCGCCCUUUGGUAUUCCGAAGGGCAUGCCUGUUUGAGUGUCAUUAAAUUAUCAACCUUGCUUGCUUUUACUAGCUCGCUUGGCUUGGAUGUGGGGGUUUGCUGGCUUCCUUCAGUGGAUGGUCUGCUCCCCUUAAAUGCAUUAGUGGGAUCUCUUGUGGACCGUCACUUGGUGUGAUAAUUAUCUAUGCCAUCUGACUUUGAAGCAAAUUUUAUGAGAACCUGCUUAUAACCGUCUCUCGCAGCAAUGCGGAUUGGGGGUCUGAGUCCUUUAUUUGGGCACUUCCCUUGUCGGACAACUUUUUUAACAUUUUGACCUCAAAUCAGGUAGGACUACCCGCUGAACUUAA
rnacentral:rRNA from 1 species